rnacentral:rRNA from 1 species
CCCAGACUCCUACGGGAGGCAGUAGUGAGGAAUAUUGGUCAAUGGGCUUACGCCUGAACCAGCCAAGUCGCGUGAGGGAAGACUGCCCUAUGGGUUGUAAACCUCUUUUGUCAGGGAGCAACGCCGGCUACGUGUAGCCGGACUGAGAGUACCUGAAGAAAAAGCAUCGGCUAACUCCGUGCCAGCAGCCGCGGUAAUACGGAGGAUGCGAGCGUUAUCCGGAUUUAUUGGGUUUAAAGGGUGCGUAGGUUGUUUUUUAAGUCAGCGGUGAAAGUUUGUGGCUCAACCAUAAAAUUGCCGUUGAAACUGGAAGACUUGAGUGUGUUUGAGGUAGGCGGAAUGCGUGGUGUAGCGGUGAAAUGCAUAGAUAUCACGCAGAACCCCGAUUGCGAAGGCAGCAUACCGGUGCACAACUGACGCUCAGGCACGAAAGCGUGGGUAUCGAACAGGAUUAGAUACCCCAGUACG